rnacentral:siRNA from 1 species
UAAACGGCGGGAGUAACUAUG